CAGAAAGUAGGUUUAGUACCUCUACUAGCCACCAAUAAAAUACUGAAAUUUGAUUUCUUAAAUAUAUAAAAAUUCGUUUUAGUUUGUUUGAAAAUUUUAAUAGAAAACAAAAAAAAAAGUAAUACAGUUUAAACCGGAUCUAAAAACAUUUUUAUGUGAGGCACUAAUGAAAUUUCAAAAUAAUAAUAAAAAGCCCAUAAGUUUUAAUAUAUACUUUCAAGAAAAAUGUAUUUUAUACUUGUAAGACAACAGCGAGAAUCCAUUUAGAGUAUUUCACCAAUAUAUAUAGCACUACCACGAUAUUCAGUAUAGCUAAAUAAAAAACUAAAUAGAAAAAAGCUGAAUCAAUUACAAA
rnacentral:lncRNA from 1 species